CAACACAGCCAUUUAUUAUAAUACACUUUUUUAGCCCUACUCUCUCACUCACUCAGUCUCUCGUUCGCUCUCUCUCGCUAAACCCUCUGUAAACCCUCUCAACGAUCGAUUUCGAUUUUGAUUUCGAAGUUUUCGAUUUCGAAGUUUAUGUUUCAGUGAUUCUCUCUCUCGAUUUCUAUUUUGAUUUCGAAGUUCCUGAUUUCGAAAUUUAUGUUUCGGUGAUUCUCUCGAUUUUGAAGCUCCAUCGUCUGCACCGGCGAGGAGAGCGAGCACCAUUAUCUACUAACAUCAAGGCAUUGAGAGAAGGCAGAAACAGUGUUAGUUGCUGGCCCUUAAAUUGGUGAGUUCUUGACAGGAGUUUCUUCGCUCUUACUUCUUUUGCAGCAAUUGAAGGAACCUUAGAGACACAAGCAGCCCACAUGAAGGAAACAUUUUCAACUGAUAUAUUUAAAUUUAUAUGCUGCUAAAGUGGAUUUUGAGUUAGUUCUGGUUUUCUAUAUGUUGUUAAAUCACGUAUUUGAUUCAAUAGAAUAUUUUCAUCCAUUCUCUAUUUCAGUGAUUUAUGAGUUGUAUAUGUUAGCAAUGUGAAAUUGUUUUUUUUUU